rnacentral:rRNA from 1 species
GAUGAGCGCUGGCGGCGUGCCUAAUACAUGCAAGUCGAGCGAACAGACGAGGAGCUUGCUCCUUCGACGUUAGCGGCGGACGGGUGAGUAACACGUAGGUAACCUACCUAUAAGACUGGGAUAACUUCGGGAAACCGGAGCUAAUACCGGAUAAUAUUUCGAACCGCAUGGUUCGAUAGUGAAAGAUGGCUUUGCUAUCACUUAUAGAUGGAUCUGCGCCGUAUUAGCUAGUUGGUAAGGUAACGGCUUACCAAGGCAACGAUACGUAGCCGACCUGAGAGGGUGAUCGGCCACACUGGAACUGAGACACGGUCCAGACUCCUACGGGAGGCAGCAGUAGGGAAUCUUCCGCAAUGGGCGAAAGCCUGACGGAGCAACGCCGCGUGAGUGAUGAAGGUCUUCGGAUCGUAAAACUCUGUUAUUAGGGAAGAACAAACGUGUAAGUAACUGUGCACGUCUUGACGGUACCUAAUCAGAAAGCCACGGCUAACUACGUG